UCGCCGGACCUGACUGCUAUCGGAUUGAUACUAAGCCAUGCGAGUCAUUGUAGCAAUACAAGGCAUACGGCUCAGUAACGCGUAGUCAACCUAACCCAUGGACGGGAAUAACCUCGGGAAACUGAGAAUAAUGCCCGAUAGAACAUUAUGCCUGGAAUGGUUUAUGUUCCAAAUGAUUUAUCGCCGUAGGAUGGGACUGCGGCCUAUCAGUUUGUUGGUGAGGUAAUGGCCCACCAAGACUAUUACAGGUACGGGCUCUGAGAGGAGUAGCCCGGAGAUGGGUACUGAGACACGGACCCAGGCCCUAUGGGGCGCAGCAGGCGAGAAAACUUUGCAAUGUGCGAAAGCACGACAAGGUUAAUCCGAGUGGUUUCUGCUAAAGAAACCUUUUGUCAGUCCUAGAAACACUGAUGAAUAAGGGGUGGGGCAAGUUCUGGUGU
rnacentral:rRNA from 1 species